rnacentral:pre_miRNA from 13 species
CUGUCGUGCAUUGUAGUUGCAUUGCACGUUCCGGCAGUACUGGUGCAAUGUUCCCACAGUGCAUUACAG